rnacentral:rRNA from 1 species
AAAGAAACCAACAGGGAUUGCCUUAGUAGCGGCGAGUGAAGCGGCAAAAGCUCAAAUUUGAAAUCUGGCGCCUUCGGUGUCCGAGUUGUAAUUUGAAGAUUGUAACCUUGGGGUUGGCUCUUGUCUAUGUUUCUUGGAACAGGACGUCACAGAGGGUGAGAAUCCCGUGCGAUGAGAUGCCCAAUUCUAUGUAAGGUGCUUUCGAAGAGUCGAGUUGUUUGGGAAUGCAGCUCUAAGUGGGUGGUAAAUUCCAUCUAAAGCUAAAUAUUGGCGAGAGACCGAUAGCGAACAAGUACAGUGAUGGAAAGAUGAAAAGAACUUUGAAAAGAGAGUGAAAAAGUACGUGAAAUUGUUGAAAGGGAAGGGUUUGAGAUCAGACUCGAUAUUUUGUGAGCCUUGCCUUCGUGGCGGGGUGACCCGCAGCUUAUCGGGCCAGCAUCGGUUUGGGCGGUAGGAUAAUGGCGUAGGAAUGUGACUUUACUUCGGUGAAGUGUUAUAGCCUGCGUUGAUGCUGCCUGCCUAAGACCGAGGACUGCGAUUUAUCAAGGAUGCUGCA